rnacentral:rRNA from 1 species
GCUAACUGCGGGCCAGGGGACGGGGUAAUACGGAGGGUGCAAGCGGUGUCCGGAUGUAUUGGGGGUAAAGAGGGUGUAGGCGGCCUGGAAGGUCAGCUGUGAAAACGCGAGGCUCAACCUCGGGACGUCGGUUGAAACCACCUGGCUAGAGUCCGGAAGAGGAGUGUGGAAUUCCCGGUGUAGCGGUGAAAUGCGCAGAUAUCGGGAAGAACACCCGUGGCGAAGGCGGCACUCUGGGACGGUACUGACGCUGAGACGCGAAAGCGUGGGGAGCGAACAGGAUUAGAUACCCGGGUAGUC